UACGUAGGGUGCAAGCGUUAAUCGGAAUUACUGGGCGUAAAGCGUGCGCAGGCGGUUUUGUAAGUCUGACGUGAAAUCCCCGGGCUCAACCUGGGAAUUGCGUUGGAGACUGCAAGGCUAGAAUCUGGCAGAGGGGGGUAAAAUUCCACGUGUAGCAGUGAAAUGCGUAGAGAUGUGGAGGAACACCGAUGGCGAAGGCAGCCCCCUGGGUCAAGAUUGACGCUCAUGCACGAAAGCGUGGGGAGCAAACAGG
rnacentral:rRNA from 1 species